GGUCGGGUUAUGUCAGGUCAUGUAGACAUAACCCGGCUAUGUCUACAUGGAUAAAUGCACGGAGUUGCUGCCGUUUGAGAUGCCAUUAGAUUUUUGACUGAAGGAGAGGUUGAGCAGAUGUACCUAAUGAAGUGGCCGGUUUGCACUGGAAUCGACAAUACUCCAGAGGCAAUCACUCUGUUAGAGUUCAUGAACUGGGAUUUAGUGCUUCCUGCUCGUCUCCUUUGUGUAUACACCGACUCACGGUGGUCUUCCAGUUCAUCCUGUUGUCCAACUUGAUGCCCAGGUACUGCUAGUACCCCACAUCACAUCAACAUCACAUCAACAUCACCAUGUCUCUGGCCUAUUCACAUCUGGGAUUUCUCCCAUACCUCUCCACAAAAUCCAACACAUCUGUGCUGUACUCCUGCUCCCGCUCAUCUCUGAUGUAUUUGUGUAGUUCCAAGUCUGAGGCAUACAAGGCGAACGGGAAUGGAGACAUCACCAAAUGGCCGAAUCACACUUAAGAAAUCAAAGAAGCUUAGCAGCUGUUACUGUCUAGAUGGAAGUAUAACCUCUCUGCAGCAUGUAGACGAAUGCAUCAGCCACUCCCAGAUUUGGUUUGUCAUGCAAACUGAAGAUUGUGGCGAGAUGUGCUGUGUCAGUUGUUUUAAGUGUUUUAGGGCUGAAAGGAAUGCCCGGCUUCAGUGUAGUUCAUUUGUCCAGAAGUUCUGACUAUGCAAAUCUGACGGGAAACUGUAGCCAGGCACACCCACAGCAACUGGAAGUUACAGUUAAGACAAAGAGUCUUGUUCAUAACUGCUCCGGCUAUGUUUAGUCCCAGUGACUGCCAAAACAGUUUCCAGCUGUUUGCAAACAAGUAAUGUGAGACAUUCGAAAACCUACACAGACUUUAGUCAGAUUCAAAGACAGUGCCUACACGGUUCACUGAAUGCCAGCUAUAAUGUGUUCAGUGAUGAUGAUUGUGCUCUUCAUGCUUUUUAAUUGUUUCUUGAAGUGUGAAAAGAAAUAUCUGAUAUAGAUUUAGAUUCAAAGAAUGAGCAUUUAUUUAAUAUCUGACAUUAGAGCCACACACAAAAACAACAUGCUAGAUGACUUUAUUUUGCAGUCAACAAAACUACAAAGGAGAUGGUUGUUACAUUUUUCUUUUCUGUUCUCUUUGGUUCUGUCACUCUUCUUCUUCUUUUGUGGGUGUUUCCAAUUUCCACUUUUAGAUAUCAACCAGUAGGAAGCUUUUACAAUAUGGUGUGUUUAAAUUGUAAAUGGAAUAGUUUGUGUAAAGUGUUUUUAAGAAAAAUAUGUCACUGAAGAGUCUGUGUGGCUUCUUUUUUUGGAAUUUAGUCAGUGUUGGUUUCCUGAAUGAAGAAUAUGAAUUGUAAAUGCCGGCAAAGCCGCUUUACCUUGCGCCUUUAUUUUGAAGAGUACCUUAGCACUUCCUCUUUUAUUGUGUCACACUUCCUGUUCUGCUCUCAGUGAAACCACACAAACACAUUGCUUCAGAGUGAGUGAACAACCUUUAUUUUUGGAAAUAUUCAUGUAAAACCAUGUACUUUAUUUAACUGUCACAUGCUAUAACUUGGGAAACUUUAUACUUCUAUCUCUGGAAAUUGAACUCCUCAUCUCAACGUUGACCAUGCACUGUGAACUUUAUCACAGUUAUAAUUCAAUUCAAU